rnacentral:misc_RNA from 1 species
UUGCGCCCUAUCCCCAUUGGCAAGACAAUUUACGAUGGCUUCCACCUAUGUCGGUGCUGGCGAGGAACAGCCGCAAUCGCCGGUGCGAUCGCCGCGGGAUCGGGAGCUGAGGAGGUCAUGGUCCUCGAAUUCGUCUACCUGCAGUCAUGGCACCGCGGCUGCCCCAAAGUGUGUAUGCGCUCCUCCGACGCAUGCUGGAUCCUUCAAGUGCAGGCUUCACCGGGUGAAUUCUCAGUCCGGGAACCACUCGGCCCCGACAACUCCCGUGAAUCAGCCCCCGCCGGCGGUGUCCUCCGCUUCUACUUGGACUGUUGAGGCACAGUAGUUGCAGUAAAUCCCUGUUUGUAUUCCCUAGUUAGGGGAAUGAUAUCUUCUUGAUAUCCUACCUUUAUAGUCCUUGCCCCUUCGCCCUCUUUUUUCUUGUGCGGUGUAUGGAGAGGUCUGAGUGGGUUACCUGUGUAAUCCGAUCUAUGGACAGAUGUGGCAUGUCCUAUGAUUGUGAGGUUAAUGUUACUUGUUUUUGGUAGCUUGAG